rnacentral:rRNA from 1 species
GGAUCUCGAAAGCCUGUCCCAGUUCGGACUGGAGCUGNAACCCGACUCCACGAAGUUGGAUUCGCUAGUAAUCGCGCAUCAGCCAUGGCGCGGUGAAUACGUUCCCGGGCCUUGUACACACCGCCCGUCAAGCCAUGGGAGCCGGGGGCGCCUGAAGUCCGGGACCGCGAGGACCGGCCUAGGGCGAAACUGGUAACUGGGGCUAAGUCGUAACAAGGUAAC